rnacentral:lncRNA from 1 species
GGCGGGCUCAGGCUGGGCGCGCGGCCCCGGCCCUGGGCAGCCGCCGCCGGCGCGCGCGCUCCCUCCCGCCGCCGCCUCCGCCCCACGCUCCUCCCGCCGCCGCCUCUUCUCCUCCCCCGCCUGUCCUUGUCCCCUCCUCUCUCGGUCCGAGCCCCAUGAUCCUGCUCUGUGUGCGCGCAGGUGCUAAGAGCUGUAGACGCUAGGACGAGCCCGGCUAGGCUCUGGCCCCCCUGGUUUCCCCGUGGAGGUGGCAAGAGGGUGAGAGAAGGAGGCGUAUGGAGGAGAGCCCGAGCUCGGGAGAAGGAGACUCACAAGCCGUUGCAGUGAACGCGCAGAGCGCGGGAAGGCUGAAAGCAUUGCCAGGGAGAAUCUAGGGGUGCUGGGCAAGACCUGUCAUAGCUUCAGAUUAGAUGAGUCGCUUUCUGCGACCGUGUGCAUCUGUGAUUAUCACUGUGUGAUCCUGAGAGAGA